rnacentral:rRNA from 1 species
UACGUAGGGUGCGAGCGUUAAUCGGAAUUACUGGGCGUAAAGUGUGCGCAGGCGGCCGCGCAAGUCGAGUGUGAAAGCCCCGGGCUUAACCUGGGAACUGCGCUUGUUACUGGCAAGCUGGAGUGUGGCAGAGGGGGUGGAAUUCCGACGUGUAGCGUGAAAUGCGUAGAGAUGUGGAGGAACACCGAUGGCGAAGGCAGCCCCCUGGGCUAACACUGACGCUCAUGCACGAAAGCGUGGGGAGCAAACAGG